AAACUUUAUUAGCGAGGAACAAUUGGAGGGCAAGUCUGGUGCCAGCAGCCGCGGUAAUUCCAGCUCCAAUAGUGUAUAUUAAUGUUCCUGCAGUUAUUCGAUGCUCGUAGUUGGAUUUCUGGGGGCUGAUUCUGGACGGCGGCUAUGGCCGCCACCGGUUUCUCCCUUCAUCCACCUGUUAACGUUGUUCGAGAUUCAUUUCUCGGCUUCGGGCUCAGGUAUUUUACCCUUACUAUAUUCAUUUAUUUAUCUUCUUUUUGAGCAAAUUAUAGUGUUUCAGGCAGGCGUGCGCCGGAAUACUUUAGCAUGGAAUAAUCGAAUUGGACUGUGUUCCUUAUCUGUUGGUUUGAUGGGCACAGAAUGGUUAAUAGGGAUAGUAAUUUUCAGGGGAGGCAUUAGUAUUUAAUUUCCAGAGGUGAAAUUCUUUGAAAUAUUAAAGACUAACUUAUGCGAAAGCAUUUAUUUUGCCAAUAAUGUUUUCAUUAAUCAUUGAACGAAAGUUAGGGGAUCAAAGACGAUCAGAUACCGUCCUAGUCUUAACCAUAAACGUUGCCGACUAGGGAUCGGAGGGCGUGCACAUUCCGCCUUCGGCACCUUACGAGAAAUCAAAGUCUUUUGGGUUCUGGGGGUAGUAUGGUCGCAAGGCUGAAACUUAAAGGAAUUGACGGAAGGGCACCACCAGGAGUGGAGCUUGCGGCUCAAUUUGACUCAACACGGGAAAUCUUACCAGGUCCAGACAUAGCGAGGAUUGACAGAUUGAUAGCUCUUUCUUAUUCUAUGGGUAUUUUUGGUGGUGCAUGGCCGUUCUUAGUUGGUGGAGUGAUUUGUCUGGUUAAUUCCGUUAAACGAACGAGACCUCAGCCUGCUAAAUAGUUACUUGUCUUUCUUUUACGAGACAUGUUAACUUCUUAGAGGGACGUUGUGUGCAACCACAAGGAAGUUGAGGCAAUAACAGGUCUGUGAUGCCCUUAGAUGUCCUGGGCCGCACGCGUGCUACACUGAUACGUACAACGAGGUAUAUGUAUUUAUACAUCGAUGCUGCUCCGAAAUAGACAAAGCUAAAUCUUCUAAAAUACGUAUCGUGCUGCGGAUAGAUCGUUGAAAUUAUGAAUCUUGAAGGUGGAAUUCCUAGUAAGCGCGGGUCAUCAACCCGCGUUGAUUACGUCCCUGCCCUUUGUACACACCGCCCGUCGCUCCUACCAAUUUCGAGUGGCUCGGUGAACCUCUUUGGACUGUCGAGCAAUCGCGAAAUUAGAGUGAACCUGGUCAC
rnacentral:rRNA from 1 species